AUCCGGCUGACGAGUCCCGAGUAGGACGAAACGCGCGUCCUGGAU
rnacentral:hammerhead_ribozyme from 1 species